CGGGACGUAGCGCAGUCCGGUAGCGCACCUGAAUGGGGUUCAGGGGGUCGCGGGUUCAAAUCCCGCCGUCCCGA
rnacentral:tRNA from 7 species